UACGUAGGGUGCAAGCGUUGUCCGGAAUUAUUGGGCGUAAAGAGCUCGUAGGCGGUUCGUCGCGUCGGCUGUGAAAACCCGGAGCUCAACUCCGGGCCUGCAGUCGAUACGGGCGGACUAGAGUUCGGCAGGGGAGACUGGAAUUCCUGGUGUAGCGGUGAAAUGCGCAGAUAUCAGGAAGAACACCAAUGGCGAAGGCAGCUCGCUGGGACGGUACUGACGCUGAGACGCGAAAGCGUGGGGAGCAAACAGG
rnacentral:rRNA from 1 species